rnacentral:misc_RNA from 1 species
AUUGGAAGCAAAUUCUGGAGGUUUCAUCAGUUUCCCUUGUUUUUGGCAUGCAGAAUCAUGAGAACAUUUGGCUUUGUUCAUUAUGUCACUUACAUCAUCAGUGCCCUCAACCUUCUGAGNNNNNNNNNGAAUCAAUAUGCUCUUCAUUUUCUAAUAUCUUAGAUGGUAAGGACUUCUUUCUCCUUUUCCGAAUCCCAACAGUAAUCUGAUGGGCUCCAUCCUUCACUUCGGGACUAGCACUAACAUCUUGAGGGAAAACUUUUCCUUGUUUAGUUGUUUUGGAUGCAACUUUAACUCUGGGAGUUGAAUGAUUCCCUUUCAACUUGGUCUUGGAAACGAUUUCAGUCUUCUGUUCCUCAACAUGGACAGAUGACUCCGUAUCAACAGGUGCUUCUGGCAGCCUCAGUGACAAAUCUGCCAAAGCUUGCAAUGCAUCAAAGGCAUCAGCUUCACCUUCUCCAAAGAGAACUUUCUUGCUUCUCUUUCUUUGACUAGAAGGCCUUGGAAGUUUUGUACCCAAAACCUCCAUUUCUAAUUUUCCUUUGGUAGCACUCAGCUUCUGUCCUUCCUCUGUCCCACUACAAGCUUCCUUUAAGUCAUCCAAAUGAUCAUCCAUAUUCUCCUCCACUUCUGGCUUCCUCACAUGAUAUCUCUUCCCCUUCAUGAAACGUUUAUUUCUUACAUAAUGUCCUAAAUCAGCUUCUGUGCUUCCCAAGCUUAAUUCACACCCACCCUCAUCCAUUUCACUGCCACGAAG